rnacentral:rRNA from 1 species
GUCCACGCCCUAAACGAUGUCAACUGGCUGUUGGGAGCGCAAGUUCUCAGUAGCGAAGCUAACGCGUGAAGUUGACCGCCUGGGGAGUACGGCCGCAAGGUUGAAACUCAAAGGAAUUGACGGGGGCCCGCACAAGCGGUGGAUGAUGUGGAUUAAUUCGAUGCAACGCGAAGAACCUUACCUACCCUUGACAUGCCAGGAACUUUCCAGAGAUGGAUUGGUGCCCGAAAGGGAACCUGGACACAGGUGCUGCAUGGCUGUCGU